rnacentral:rRNA from 1 species
GCUAUUGGAGUUCGAUUAAGCCAUGCGAGUCGAGAGUCUUAGGGACUCGGCGUACCGCUCAGUAACACGUGGGUAACCUGCCCUAUGCUGGGGAAUAACCUCGGGAAACUGAGAAUAAUGCCCCAUAGUCCACAAUGCCUGGAACGGUUUGUGGAUCAAAGCUCCGGCGGCAUAGGAUGGGCCUGCGGCGUAUCAGGUUGUAGGGGGUGUAACGUACCCUCUAGCCAUCAACGCGUACGGGUGUUGGGAGACAUAGCCCGGAGAUGGAUUCUGAGACACGAAUCCAGACCCUACGGGGUGCAGCAGGCGCGAAAACUUGGCAAUGCGAGAAAUCGUGACCAGGGAACUCCAAGUGGCUGGGGUAAGACCCAGUCUUUUCUUGACUCUUCAAAGGUCUUGGAAUAAGGGGUGGGUAAGGACGGUGCCAGCCGCCGCGGUAAUACCGGCGCCUCAAGUGGUAGUCGAUUUUAUUGGGCCUAAAACGUCCGUAGCCUGUUUGGUACAUUCGUGGGUAAAUCAACCAGCUCAACUGGUUGAAUUCUGCGAGCACGGCCAGACUUGGGACCGGGAGAGGUGUGGGGUACGCUCAGGGUAGGGGUAAAAUCCUGUCAUCCUGAGCGGACCACCUGUUGCGAAGGCGCCACACUAGAACGGGUCCGACGGUCAGGGACGAAGCCUAGGGGCACGAACCGGAUUAGAUACCCGGGUAGUCCUAGGUGUAAACGCUGUGGACUUGGUGUUGGGGACUCUCCGAGAAUCCUCAGUGCCGAAGCGAAGGUGAUAAGUCCACUGCCUGGGGAGUACGGUCGCAAGGCUGAAACUUAAAGGAAUUGGCGGGGGAGCACCGC